UUGAAGAGGGCUCUGUCCACGCUCUGUGGAGGCAGCAGGAAACUGAAGAGGUCGACGGUGACGAGGAAGCAGCUGGGGAUCAGCAUGUUCACCACGUACAUGGUGGAACGGCGCCUCACUGAGAUCUACAGCAGGCGGCGUCUCCUACCACGCCUAAGAUGCCAAACAGAAUGAAGGAGAUGUCGACGGUGGUCGGUGUAGAUGAAUUAAUCACCGGUCGAAUGGAAUUCAGUUUGAAGACCGGCGUCAGAGCCUCCAGCAGAGCCAGCGUGUCGGGGCGAGAACAGUUCAGUGCAACGGAACUGCAACCAGCUACGGACGAGAGGACAGAGACGUGUACGUGCUGCUGUUGAAGGUCACAGUUUGUAUUCAGUUUAUAGUCAAUAUGAGAUGAUGACUGUAACUUAAAUUACAGAGAAUAAUGUCAAAAAAAUGUUGUUCUCUCUACUUUGCAGUUGAAAAACUAAAAUGUAGUUCUUGGAAAAACACUGGGCGUAAACACCUACAAAUGAAUACAACAACUGCCAAAUGUGAUGGGCAGCAGGUCGUUCAUGAUGAGCAGGAAGACGGUGUAGCCCAGGAUGAGGGUCAUCUUGAAGGAGGAUCUGUCCACAGUAUGAGGAGGCAGCAGGAAACUGAAGAGGUCGACUGUGAUC